AUUGAACGCUGGCGGCAUGCCCUACACAUGCAAGUCGAACGGCAGCACGGGGCAACCUGUUGGCUCGUGGCGAACGGGUGAGUAAUGCAUCGGAACGUACCUUUCAGUGGGGGAUAACGUAGCGAAAGUUACGCUAAUACCGCAUAUUCUGGGCGAAGGAAAGCAGGGGAUCGCAAGACCUUGCGCUGAUUGAGCGGCCGAUGUCAGAUGAGCUAGCUGGUGAGGUAAAGGCUCACCAAGGCGACGAUCUGUAGCGGGUCUGAGAGGAUGAUCCGCCACACUGGAACUGAGACACGGUCCAGACUCCUACGGGAGGCAGCAGUGGGGAAUUUUGGACAAUGGGGGCAACCCUGAUCCAGCCAUGCCGCGUGAGUGAAGAAGGCCUUCGGGUUGUAAAGCUCUUUCGGCCGGGAAGAAAUCGCACGGGCUAAUACCCUGUGUGGAUGACGGUACCGGAAUAAGGAGCACCGGCUAACUACGUGCCAGCCGCCGCCGUAAUAC
rnacentral:rRNA from 1 species